rnacentral:lncRNA from 1 species
AAGAAUGAAGCUUCAUCAACUCUACUUCCGGCUGCUGUUGAUGAAGUGUGAGUCCCAUGACCUUCUGUGUCGCGUGUGGAGUUUAAUCCUAAGGUGAUGUUUGGAUAUUUUGCUAAUAUUCCUUUGUUGAAGAAUUUAGCACCAAUUAAUUUUUUGUUGCAAAGUGAUGAAUUGAAAUGAAUGCUAUUUUCACAUUUUCCUUUCCAUUUUGAAGGAAUGUUAGCAAUUCCAUUAUCUUUGAAGCUUUCACUUUCUGGCCAAACACCUGUGUCAAUCAAACCAACAAUCACAUCUUUACCAAAAUUCGAAUCAUGCCAAGCUCCUACGUUUGGAUUGAGACCAAGGAAUUGAGGUGAGUGUGUUGUGUCAAGCUUCAAGUGUAAAUCAGGUAUGGAAGAAAUGUAACCAGGAGAGUUUUUGAGAGAUUCAUGUUCUUUUGGUGACAAAUUAGCACUGAAACCAUUCAUGGCAUGCGUGUAGGUGUAAAUUAACUUAGAUGAAAUUGGAGAGUUGAGAUUAUCGGAUGUUGCAAGUUGAGGUUUCUCUAAUGCAGAGGAAAGAGUUGAUUGAUACCAUGUG